ensembl:snoRNA
ACAGACUCACACUGCACCUGGCUGCAGCCCCCAGGCAGGUGGGUUUUCUGUCUGCCAGAGAACCUUCCAGGGAGCUGUGGCAGCCUUCACCUGCUGAGGCUGAUGCAGUUUCCAGGGAACAUGGAA